UUAUCCCAAGGAUGGUGGACAGAGAGGCUCUAAGCUACCCUCUAAUGCUCAGGCUUCUUCUGCCUUCAAGGAAAAGCCAGUCGUGAGACUUAAGGGAAGAAAAGAAGGAUGCGGCUGCCCCAGAGCCCUGCAGAGCAAGCAGCGGGUGUGAUGCGCAGUGAGCUCGGAGGAUGGGCAUGGCAGGUCAUCGUGGGACAAUGUGGCUUCUUCCCAUUGUCCUCCUUUUCCUUCAGAUGAGGCAGACAGUCAUACCAAGUGAUGCGAGGUCAACUUGAGAGCAGUUCUGAAGAACUGAAGAGGGAGGAAUCGUUGAUUCCCUGAAAGUGACCUGUUUCCCUGCAAACCAUUUUCCUCCACUUCCAGUUCCCACAUAAGGCUCAGAAACCAUGAACUAGAUGGCAGAAAGUCACAGGAAUCACAGCAAACCCAGAUGCCUAUUCUGAAAAUGAGGAAUCCACUGAGGCCUUGAGCAGACAGUUGGAGGUCACCAGGGAGGCUGGCACUCACCCAGCAUGUCCCCGUGGCAGGCAAGGAGCCUGGACUGGCGGCUGUUUUCUCCUCAUCGUGCUCAUCCAGCCCUGGGCCCA